rnacentral:rRNA from 1 species
AGUGAACGCUGGCGGUAGGCCUAACACAUGCAAGUCGAACGGCAGCACAGUAAGAGCUUGCUCUUACGGGUGGCGAGUGGCGGACGGGUGAGGAAUACAUCGGAAUCUACUUUUUCGUGGGGGAUAACGUAGGGAAACUUACGCUAAUACCGCAUACGACCUACGGGUGAAAGCAGGGGAUCUUCGGACCUUGCGCGAUUGAAUGAGCCGAUGUCGGAUUAGCUAGUUGGCGGGGUAAAGGCCCACCAAGGCGACGAUUCGUAGCUGGUCUGAUAGGAUGAUCAGCCACACUGGAACUGAGACAAGGUCCAGACUCCUACGGGAGGCAGCAGUGGGGAAUAUUGGACAAUGGGCGCAAGCCUGAUCCAGCCAUACCGCGUGGGUGAAGAAGGCCUUCGGGUUGUAAAGCCCUUUUGUUGGGAAAGAAAAGCAGCAGGUUAAUACCCCGCUGUUCUGACGGUACCCAAAGAAUAAGCACCGGCUAACUUCGUG